rnacentral:lncRNA from 1 species
GCCUCCCAGUACCCCCAGUAUCCCUCCCAGUGCUUUCCAGUACACCCCCAGUCCCUCCCAGUCCCUCCCAGUGCCCCCAGUAUCCCCCCCAACGCCCUCCCAGCAUCCCCAGUGCCCCCCCAUGGCCCCCCAGUCCCCUCCCAGCAUCUCCCAGCGCCUCCCAGUCCCCUCCCAGUGCCUCCCAGUGCCCCCAGUAUCCCUCCCAGUGCCCCCGCUCACCGAUGAUGUUGGGCACGAACAGGAAGACAUUCCUGCUCCCCUCGCCGCCCGCCAUGGCCCCCCCCGCCCCCCGCGGUGGUCCCGUCCGACGCCGCCGCGGCCCCUUUAAGAGCGGCCGGAACCAACCGCACCGCGGGGGGGAACGCGCGCGGGGCUCUGCGCAUGCGCGGAGGAGGCGAAGCGCGCACCGCCCUUCCUGCGCAUGCGCCUAACGCUCCUCUCCCCCCAACCCCUCCCCGCGGCAGGCCCCGCGCAUGCGCGCUGCGGGAAGGCGCGGCCGCGGCCACGUGACGCGCGGCAGCCAAUGGGCGCGGCGGGGCUGUUGCCAUGGCAACAAGGGGAUGGGGAAGAAGCGGCCUAGUUAGAGCGCGGCUAAUUAAUGAAGGCGAUUAAUUAAAGGGCGCGGAAUUAAUUAGGGAGCCGCUGAGGUGUGAUUAACGAGCGUUUAAUUAAUAAAAAUACAGAUAAUUAAUUAAUUAGCGCUCCGGUAAUUAAAUUAUAACCGCGGAGGCCGCUCCGGGGACCGCCAGGCCCCAAGAUGGCCGCCAGGCCCCGCCCCCCCCCGCGUAUUGCGUCACAAAGGGGGCGGGGCCGGGAGGGGGCGGGGCCGAUCUGUGCGUGGCCACGCCCAGGCCGGGGUGUGGGGGAGGGGCUGGGGGGGCCUUGAAACCACCAAAAUCCCCCCUGGGGGGGAGCCUUGAAACUGCCAAAAUCCCCCUGGAGAGCCCCAAAACCACUCAAAUUCCCCCAAGGCAGCCCCAAAACUACCAUGGUCCAUCUGGGGAGCCUUGAAACCCCCAAGAUCCCUCUGGGGAGCCUCAAAACCACCAAAAUCCCUAAAAGGGAGGGGAGCAGUAAAAAGGGGGGGGCUCGGCCCCAUUGGAGUGAGCUUGACCCCAAAAAGGGGUUGUCUGACCCCAAAAUGGGGGGUCCCCAGCCCCAAAUGGGGACGUUUUAGCCCCAAAAAGGGGGGUUUGGACCCCGAAAAAAGGGCUCUAACCCCAAAUAGCGGGGUCUUGUUCCCAAAUACGGGGCUCUCAGUCCCAAAAACAGGCGUUUUGUCCCCAAAAUGGGGCGCCCCCCCCCUCCUUGCCGGGACCACGGCCUGGUGUGGCCCCGCGGCCUCCGUCACCUCCAGGGCCUCCUGGGGGGGGGCUGGGGGGGGGGGGAGGCGGGAGCGGAACCCCCCCCCCAAUUUGUUGGCCUUGGGGAAGAGGCGGAAGAGGCCCCGCUCCGAGGCCAGGCCCAGCCCCUGCAGCACCCCAAAAACGGGCCGGGGGCCACCAGGAGGUAGAGGGGGAGGAAGAGCCAGGGGGAGGCCAGGAGGCGCGAGGCCAGGAGCAGGGCGGGGACGUGGAGGGGGGGCAGGAUUUGGGGGAAAAAACGGGGGAUUUGGGGCACCGGCAGGGGGCGGCGGGGGGCCAGGGGGGGCCUCAGACCCAGCAGGGGCCCCAAAAGGAGGAGGAGGAGGAGGAGGAGCAGGGGGAGGGGCAGGAAGGCCGGGGGGGCGAGGGCCAGCGCCAGCCCCGCCCCCAGCAGGGCCCCGCCCCCUCCCCAGCCGGCCCAGCACGGGAGGCCACGCCCACCUGCGGCGGGAGGCUCCGCCCCCAGCUCAGGCUCCGCCCCCAGCUCAGGCUCCGCCCCCUCCUCCUGUGGCUCCGCCUCCUCGCGGGGCUCCUCCUCCUCCUCCUCGGGGGGCGGGGCCUGGAAAGGGCGGGGCCAGUGGGGGUGAGAAAUGGGGGCGGAGCCUCAGCCCCAUAGACGUGGGGCAGGGACCCCCCAGUGCCCCAUAGAUGUGGGGCAGAGCCCCCCAAGUGCCCCCUGACUUACGUCCUGGGCCUCGCUGCCGGAGCCGUCGGGGGGCGGGCAGGAGCCUUCCUCGCCCCCUUCCUCACCCCCCUCCUCUUCCUCCUCCUCCUCCUCUUCCUCGUCCUCUGGCCCCGAGGCGUUGGUGGCACUGGUGGCACUGGUGGCACUGAUGGUGCUGCUGCUGCGGCUGGCCAGGCUGCCAUCCCCCGGAGACUCCUGGGGACACUGGGGUGAGGGGGGGGGGUACUGGGAGGGGACUGGGAGCAUUGGGAGGUGCUGGGAGGGGACUGGGAGCACUGGGAGGGGACUGGGGGGCACUGGGGGGGUACUGGGAGGGAACUGGGAGGCACUGGAGAGCACUGGGAGGCAUCGUAGGGAGUCUGUGGGGUGUUAUAGGGGGGCUGUGGGGCACUGUGGGGGGUUAUGGGGUCUUUAUGGGGUCUCUGGGGGUCCCUAUGGGGUCUGUGGGGUCCCUGGGGUCUCACCUGGGCGCUGUUCCCGUGCCCCCCCCAUGCCGGGCGGCGCCGGGGGGGCUCCAGGAGCUGCAGCAGCCGGG